rnacentral:rRNA from 1 species
ACGGGUGGAGUAACGCGUAAGAACUUGCCCUUUAGACUGGGAUAACAGAGGGAAACUUCUGAUAAUACUGGAUAAGUUAGUAUAUCGCAUGAUAUGCAAAUGAAAGCUACGGCACUAAAGGAGAGCUUUGCGUCCUAUUAGCUAGUUGGUAAGGUAAGAGCUUACCAAGGCGAUGAUAGGUAGCCGGCCUGAGAGGGUGGACGGCCACAAGGGGACUGAGAUACGGCCCUUACUCCUACGGGAGGCAGCAGGC